rnacentral:rRNA from 1 species
AACAAACGCUGGCGGCGUGCCUAAUACAUGCAAGUCGAACGGGGAAAGCUUUCGGGUGAGUACUAGUGGCGCACGGGUAAGUAACGCGUGGAUAAUCUGCCUUAGAGUGGGGGAUAACUAGUCGAAAGAUUAGCUAAUACCGCAUAAGACCACAAGAACUGCGGUUCAAGGGGUCAAAGGUUUUUCGCUCUAAGAUGAGUCCGCGUAAGAUUAGCUAGUUGGUAGGGUAACGGCCUACCAAGGCGACGAUCUUUAACUGGUCUGAGAGGAUGAUCAGUCACAGUGGAACUGAGACACGGUCCAGACUCCUACGGGAGGCAGCAGUAGGGAAUAUUGCACAAUGGAGGAAACUCUGAUGCAGCGACGCCGCGUGAGUGAUGAAGGCCUUCGGGUCGUAAAGCUCUGUCGCAGGGGAAUAACACAAUGAAGGUACCCUGUAAGAAAGGAUCGGCUAACUUCGCGCCAGCAGCCGCGGUAAAAC